rnacentral:lncRNA from 1 species
CCCUCCGCGGGGUGGGCCAUAUGGGUCCCGACAUCAUGAUGAUCGGCGUUCAGUCGGCGACACUUACGACCCAAGACCCGACGCAAGAGGACAUAUCGCCCAGCGAAGAGUCGACAGAGGUCGAGCCCACCGCGAUGGUCGCGAUACCGACCGUCCGAGUGGAAGCAGGGCCACCGUGUCUGGUCCCGAGUGUUUCAGUCGAGCCAUCCGUUCGGCUGACAUCCCUCCCAACUUCCGAUUGGCGACGGGAAUUAGCAAGUUCACAGGAGAGUCCAAGCCAGAAACGUGGCUGGAUGACUACCGAGUGGCGGUCCAGAUCGGAGGAGGGGACGACCAUGUCGCCAUGAAGCACCUCCCUCUGAUGCUC